CAAAAUGGCACAAGGACAGACAGGCAGGAAGGAGAGCAGUUUGGCCAAACACAAUUUAGUUGCUCGAAUUUAUUUCGUUUUCAAUUGGUUUGUGUUUGCAGUGCACAGUACGAGUAAUGGUCAUAAGACAAGUAGAUAAACAGCAGAGAGAACAAACCAUGAACAGAUGCAAAGCGAAACGGAAGCGGAUUGCACAGCGGAAAACAGGCACAAAACGAAACGCAAAUGCUAGAACUAGUCGAUGUCUAAACAAAUACCCUUUCGUCUGACUAAUUAGGUAGAGGUUUGAAGCGUUUGAAAUGUAAAUUCAAAAGACACCUCCUCUAGUCAUCUCCUCUCGGCAGGGUAUUAAAACAAACAAAAAACUCGAAAUGCAACGGAAGUCUAAUGAGUAUUUGUGUGCAAUCGAGAACCUUAGAGGUGGGCUGGGAAGAGGAAACAACAAAAUAAACUGUAAUUAACUGUCGGCUCUCGCAUGAACAUGAAUCAAAGCGGUAUGUGGUCCCUGUGGAGGGGGGAGGCCGGUCAUUUAUUCCGC
rnacentral:lncRNA from 1 species